rnacentral:rRNA from 1 species
CAGUCGCCACGGUAAUACGUAGGUGGCAAGCGUUGUCCGGAAUUAUUGGGCGUAAAGGGCUCGCAGGCGGUUUCUUAAGUCUGAUGUGAAAGCCCCCGGCUCAACCGGGGAGGGUCAUUGGAAACUGGGAAACUUGAGUGCAGAAGAGGAGAGUGGAAUUCCACGUGUAGCGGUGAAAUGCGUAGGGAUGUGGAGGAACACCAGUGGCGAAGGCGACUCUCUGGUCUGUAACUGACGCUGAGGAGCGAAAGCGUGGGGAGCGAACAGGAUUAGAUACCCCCGUAGUCCCUGUCUCUUAUAC